AACGCACAUUGCGCCCGCUGGUAUUCCAGCGGGCAUGCCUGUUCGAGCGUCAUUUCAACCCUCAAGCCCUGUGGCUUGGUGUUGGGGCGCUGCCGAGGCCCGCUUGCGGGUGCGGCAGGCCCCCAAAUCUAGUGGCGAGCUCGCCAGUACUUCCGAGCGCAGUAGUGUAAAACCCUCGCUCAGGACGGGACUGGUGCGGCCCUGCCGUAAAACCCCAUAAACUUCUGAAAAUUUGACCUCGGAUCAGGUAGGAAUACCCGCUGAACUUAA
rnacentral:misc_RNA from 2 species